UACGAGAGGCCCAAACGUUAUUCGGAAUUACUGGGCUUAAAGAGUUCGUAGGCGCCCUUGCAAGUCGGGUGUGAAAGCCCUCGGCUCAACCGAGGAAUUGCGCUCUAAACUGCAGUGCUUGAGGAACCUAGAGGUGAGCAGAACAGAUGGUGGAGCGGUGAAAUGCGUUGAUAUCAUCUGGAAUACCGGAGGCGAAGGCGGCUCACUGGGAGUUUUCUGACGCUGAGGAACGAAAGCCAGGGUAGCGAACGGG
rnacentral:rRNA from 1 species